rnacentral:rRNA from 1 species
GAUGAACGCUGGCGGCGUGCCUAAUACAUGCAAGUCGAGCGAACGGACGAGAAGCUUGCUUUUCUGAUGUUAGCGGCGGACGGGUGAGUAACACGUGGAUAACCUACCUAUAAGACUGGGAUAACUUCGGGAAACCGGAGCUAAUACCGGAUAAUAUUUUGAACCGCAUGGUUCAAAAGUGAAAGACGGUCUUGCUGUCACUUAUAGAUGGAUCCGCGCUGCAUUAGCUAGUUGGUAAGGUAACGGCUUACCAAGGCAACGAUGCAUAGCCGACCUGAGAGGGGGAUCGGCCACACUGGAACUGAGACACGGUCCAUACUCCUACGGGAGGCAGCAGUAGGGAAUCUUCCGCAAUGGGCGAAAGCCUGACGGAGCAACGCCGCGUGAGUGAUGAAGGUCUUCGGAUCGUAAAACUCUGUUAUUAGGGAAGAACAUAUGUGUAAGUAACUGUGCACAUCUUGACGGUACCUAAUCAGAAAGCCACGGCUAACUACGUG